rnacentral:lncRNA from 1 species
GGACGCGGAAGGGGGCAGAGGAGGGCUUUCUGGCUCGGGGAGGCUGGGAAGGGGGGCAGCGAGCCCCGGCCCAGCCCGGACCCUUUGGGGCGCGCGCUCGCCUCCGCACCGCCGCCGGGGUCGCCCGCAGCUCGGGCGGUGUCGGGGCGGCCGGGGGAGCGCGGCGGGCGGGGUCCCGCUCCCCCGCACCCCCCGCUAACCCCUCCCCCGGGCGCCCAUUGGUCCACACCCCCACCCGCACCCCACCCUGCGAGGAGCGCGGCGGAGGCGGUGGUCGCUCGCCUCGCUCCGGCCCGGCCUGGCUUGGCGGCGCCUCUCCCGCAGGACCGAGCCCGCGGGGCGCGGGGCGCGGGGGGGCGCGGGGGGCGGGCGGGGGCGCCGCGCCCGGGCCCGGGCGGUGACUGGCGGCGGCGGCGGCUCCAGCUCCGGCGAGCGCGGUCCCCGCGUGCGCACACGCACACGCACACGCCGCGGCGCAGGGGCCCGGACACCGGCCGCCGGCGGACACGCGGACGCGGGGACCCGGGCUCGGCGCGCGCUCCUCGGCGCCCUCGCUCCAGCCCGGGCCUCCCGCCGGAGUCCGCCCGCAGCCCGCAGCCCGCAGCCCGCAGCCCGCAGCCCGCAGCCCGCCGCGAGGCCCGGUGCGAGCAGGUAAGGGCCGCCCGGCCGCCCCUCCCGAUGCAGAACCCUCGUCCCCGCGGGGGGCAGCGGCCCCUUCCUCCCCUCGGCGACCCCCGCGGCCCCUCCCGCUGCUGCUCCCUUCCUGCGCGACAGCCCGACCCCCCCCCCCCCAUCUGGGGUAGUACCUGGGGCAGCAGCUCCCUGCAGCCCCUCCCCGCGCCAGAGGGAGAACCUGGGGCAGGACCGGCACUGCGGCCGGGGGGACCCAGGGGGACCCAGGGGGACCCAGACCGAGGGACCCAGGGGGACCCAGAGGGACCCGUCUCCCUACUCCCAAGGCAGACGGACGCGCCUACGCGGAUGGGGAAGGCAGCGCUGGAGGGGCCCUGGCUGCUGGCUACCGCAGUCCCCAGGGGGGCUGAGGGGUGGGCAGGCGCCGUGCAGGGGGGGUGGGGGCAGGGGCCAGCCUAG